UCAUUUCUUCUUAUUUCACAUCACAACUGUGUCACUCUGACCAAGGAAUUCAGUUCGCAACCGUGACCAAGGAUAAGUUACAAACUCGAAAUUCGCAACAAUCGCUUCUAAGUAAGCCCCAAACAAACCCGUUUGGAUAAGCUAUGUUUUUGUCAAAUGCAAAUCUGUGAUGAUUGUAAGCUCCCGAAUCAAAAAGUGGUGAAGCAGAUGUUCUCCCUUGAAAAGGGAAAAACACGAAAAUUUCUCGACCAAAAUCAACUUGAACCUGUUUGCCUGAGUCAGUUACGUUACAAGAAAAAUUUUUUUAGCCCCUUUUUUAAUUUAAAAACGUCAAAGGUUGGCGUAUAUGUGAUUUUAUUGAUUUUCUUUCUCCUUUUUUUUUUCAAAGAAAUAUUUUUAUGUUAGCUUUAUUCAAAUAUUCCUUGCAUGCAAAUCAUUUGACAGGAGAUUUCCCUAUUGUCCUAGUUUGAAAUUUCCAGAGGAAAUGAGAAAUCCUGGAAAGUUAAGAAUUUAAAAGCUGUGUGAAAUCUGAAAUAGUUUCCAGCGAGAAUUUUUUUGAAACAUCUGUUGUGAAGAUUAUAUUCAGGUCGUAAACUGGCCUUAUAAGAAGAGGCAAUUAUCAAUAGAACAUGUUAUGUUCUUCUUUGAUUAACAAAGAGGCCUUUGAGAAUGUGGAGAAAGAGAAAUUUGCAGUGUUUUCAUCAUUCCUGAGAAUUUACCUUGCAUUCCAUUUCAUGCCCAGAAUUCUGCUGGGCAUGAAAUGCGCAUACCAACCCUUACAUUAAAUGUCUUGUCCAAUGAAUGCGGAAUCUACCACAGGGAUAAUUUUUAUAAAAGAUGUACAGCUUUAUUCCCAUCUCCGAGAAUGAAGUGUACCUACCUCACAAUCCCAUUUAAUUUUUUUAGCUAUGCAGAAACAUUCUUUGAGUGAUAUUUUGUCUAGCUGCCCUGGUUAAGUUCUGCUGGAAGUUUCUGUACACAUGUGUUAAGGGUGCACCCUUGAUAGGGUCAGGGACCCUGCUGGCAGCUCUUAUGGGCUUACUGUGUUGGUGUUUAGUUUGAGGCUGCUAAUUUGUGAAAAAUUCCAGGUGCAAAGCUCUAUGAAUUGUAAUUAAUCUUAGUUUUGAAAUUCUGAUGAGGCCAGAUGACAAACACAUGAACAAAAAUAAAGUCUCAAAACUUAGAACCUUUCAAACAAGGUGGAGGAAAAAAGCAUGUUCACUUCUUGUUUCUCGUGCUUUAACGUUUUUUACUUCAUAAUGGAAUUUUUUUUUUCAAUGCACCCUUUCAUGUAAAAGUGUGUUGUGGGUUUUAUAAUAGGUGGCCUGCUGUACUUUGCAUAUCAUAGCACAACAAAGAAUGCAUUUACAUGUCUUUUAAAAUUUUCAAACAUUUCAUUUCUUUAAGUUUCAUUGUGUGCUGAAUUCUUUAAAUGGUAUUGCUUUUCUUGCUGACAACAAAAUCUUGCCAGUCAGUUCAUGGCUUUCUUGAGUUGACAAACUGUCUGCAGAACACUAGAUGGCUUGAUGCUUGAAUUUCUCUCUGACAUGAGCACAAAUUAAGAUUGUUUGUGGUUGAAAAUGCGCAGCUGGUAUUUUGUCAAAGUCCUGGCAGCUUCAAGCUCUUCACCCGUUGUGCAGCUGUCUAAAUGAUUUCCCUUCAACAAGAUUUGACAUCUGAAGCUCAUAAGAUAUUUGAAUGUAAUAUUACAAGCAUUGUCUAUUUGUAUUAAAGUGCUCCAACCUCU
rnacentral:lncRNA from 1 species